rnacentral:tRNA from 1 species
GCCUGGGUGGUGGAACUGGUAGACACGUUGGACUUAAAAUCCAAUGGGCAGCAAUGUCCGUGCGGGUUCAAGUCCCGCCUCAGGUA